rnacentral:rRNA from 1 species
GGGUGCUAUACAUGCAGUCGAGCGGACAGAUGGGAGCUUGCUCCCUGAUGUUAGCGGCGGACGGGUGAGUAACACGUGGGUAACCUGCCUGUAAGACUGGGAUAACUCCGGGAAACCGGGGCUAAUACCGGAUGGUUGUUUGAACCGCAUGGUUCAAACAUAAAAGGUGGCUUCGGCUACCACUUACAGAUGGACCCGCGGCGCAUUAGCUAGUUGGUGAGGUAACGGCUCACCAAGGCAACGAUGCGUAGCCGACCUGAGAGGGUGAUCGGCCACACUGGGACUGAGACACGGCCCAGACUCCUACGGGAGGCAGCAGUAGGGAAUCUUCCGCAAUGGACGAAAGUCUGACGGAGCAACGCCGCGUGAGUGAUGAAGGUUUUCGGAUCGUAAAGCUCUGUUGUUAGGGAAGAACAAGUACCGUUCGAAUAGGGCGGUACCUUGACGGUACCUAACCAGAAAGCCACGGCUAACUACGUGCCAGCAGCCGCGGUAAUACGUAGGUGGCAAGCGUUGUCCGGAAUUAUUGGGCGUAAAGGGCUCGCAGGCGGUUUCUUAAGUCUGAUGUGAAAGCCCCCGGCUCAACCGGGGAGGGUCAUUGGAAACUGGGGAACUUGAGUGCAGAAGAGGAGAGUGGAAUUCCACGUGUAGCGGUGAAAUGCGUAGAGAUGUGGAGGAACACCAGUGGCGAAGGCGACUCUCUGGUCUGUAACUGACGCUGAGGAGCGAAAGCGUGGGGAGCGAACAGGAUUAGAUACCCUGGUAGUCCACGCCGUAAACGAUGAGUGCUAAGUGUUAGGGGGUUUCCGCCCCUUAGUGCUGCAGCUAACGCAUUAAGCACUCCGCCUGGGGAGUACGGUCGCAAGACUGAAACUCAAAGGAAUUGACGGGGGCCCGCACAAGCGGUGGAGCAUGUGGUUUAAUUCGAAGCAACGCGAAGAACCUUACCAGGUCUUGACAUCCUCUGACAAUCCUAGAGAUAGGACGUCCCCUUCGGGGGCAGAGUGACAGGUGGUGCAUGGUUGUCGUCAGCUCGUGUCGUGAGAUGUUGGGUUAAGUCCCGCAACGAGCGCAACCCUUGAUCUUAGUUGCCAGCAUUCAGUUGGGCACUCUAAGGUGACUGCCGGUGACAACCCGAGGAAGGGGGGGAUGACGUCAAAUCAUCAUGCCCCUUAUAACUGGGGCUACACACUGCUUCAAUGGACAGAACAAAGGGAGCGAAACCCCGGGGUUAGCCAUCCCCCAAAUUGUU